UUGGUCGGUAGCGCGGUUAUGCGUUGCCUUCGGUCCGAUCGCGACGCCACAGCACGUCGGUGCCGCCACCGGCCCGAUUGAGC
rnacentral:tRNA from 1 species